UACGUAGGGGGCAAGCGUUGUCCGGAAUCAUUGGGCGUAAAGGGCGCGUAGGCGGCCCGGUAAGUCCGCUGUGAAAGUCCAGGGCUCAACCAUGGGAUGCCGGUGGAUACUGUCGGGCUCGAGUCCGGAAGAGGAGUGUGGAAUUCCUGGUGUAGCGGUGAAAUGCGCAGAUAUCAGGAGGAACACCAAUGGCGAAGGCAGCUCGCUGGGAAGUGACUGACGCUGAGACGCGAAAGCGUGGGGAGCAAACAGG
rnacentral:rRNA from 1 species